AGCGUACACGGUGGAUGCCCUGGCAGUCAGAGGCGAUGAAGGACGUGCUAAUCUGCGAUAAGCGUCGGUAAGGUGAUAUGAACCGUUAUAACCGGCGAUUUCCGAAUGGGGAAACCCAGUGUGUUUCGACACACUAUCAUUAACUGAAUCCAUAGGUUAAUGAGGCGAACCGGGGGAACUGAAACAUCUAAGUACCCCGAGGAAAAGAAAUCAACCGAGAUUCCCCCAGUAGCGGCGAGCGAACGGGGAGGAGCCCAGAGCCUGAAUCAGUGUGUGUGUUAGUGGAAGCGUCUGGAAAGGCGCGCGAUACAGGGUGACAGCCCCGUACACAAAAAUGCACAUAUUGUGAGCUCGAUGAGUAGGGCGGGACACGUGGUAUCCUGUCUGAAUAUGGGGGGACCAUCCUCCAAGGCUAAAUACUCCUGACUGACCGAUAGUGAACCAGUACCGUGAGGGAAAGGCGAAAAGAACCCCGGCGAGGGGAGUGAAAAAGAACCUGAAACCGUGUACGUACAAGCAGUGGGAGCCUCUUUUAUGGGGUGACUGCGUACCUUUUGUAUAAUGGGUCAGCGACUUAUAUUCUGUAGCAAGGUUAACCGAAUAGGGGAGCCGAAGGGAAACCGAGUCUUAACUGGGCGUUAAGUUGCAGGGUAUAGACCCGAAACCCGGUGAUCUAGCCAUGGGCAGGUUGAAGGUUGGGUAACACUAACUGGAGGACCGAACCGACUAAUGUUGAAAAAUUAGCGGAUGACUUGUGGCUGGGGGUGAAAGGCCAAUCAAACCGGGAGAUAGCUGGUUCUCCCCGAAAGCUAUUUAGGUAGCGCCUCGUGAACUCAUCUCCGGGGGUAGAGCACUGUUUCGGCAAGGGGGUCAUCCCGACUUACCAACCCGAUGCAAACUGCGAAUACCGGAGAAUGUUAUCACGGGAGACACACGGCGGGUGCUAACGUCCGUCGUGAAGAGGGAAACAACCCAGACCGCCAGCUAAGGUCCCAAAGUCAUGGUUAAGUGGGAAACGAUGUGGGAAGGCCCAGACAGCCAGGAUGUUGGCUUAGAAGCAGCCAUCAUUUAAAGAAAGCGUAAUAGCUCACUGGUCGAGUCGGCCUGCGCGGAAGAUGUAACGGGGCUAAACCAUGCACCGAAGCUGCGGCAGCGACACUAUGUGUUGUUGGGUAGGGGAGCGUUCUGUAAGCCUGUGAAGGUGUGCUGUGAGGCAUGCUGGAGGUAUCAGAAGUGCGAAUGCUGACAUAAGUAACGAUAAAGCGGGUGAAAAGCCCGCUCGCCGGAAGACCAAGGGUUCCUGUCCAACGUUAAUCGGGGCAGGGUGAGUCGACCCCUAAGGCGAGGCCGAAAGGCGUAGUCGAUGGGAAACAGGUUAAUAUUCCUGUACUUGGUGUUACUGCGAAGGGGGGACGGAGAAGGCUAUGUUGGCCGGGCGACGGUUGUCCCGGUUUAAGCGUGUAGGCUGGUUUUCCAGGCAAAUCCGGAAAAUCAAGGCUGAGGCGUGAUGACGAGGCACUACGGUGCUGAAGCAACAAAUGCCCUGCUUCCAGGAAAAGCCUCUAAGCAUCAGGUAACAUCAAAUCGUACCCCAAACCGACACAGGUGGUCAGGUAGAGAAUACCAAGGCGCUUGAGAGAACUCGGGUGAAGGAACUAGGCAAAAUGGUGCCGUAACUUCGGGAGAAGGCACGCUGAUAUGUAGGUGAAGUCCCUCGCGGAUGGAGCUGAAAUCAGUCGAAGAUACCAGCUGGCUGCAACUGUUUAUUAAAAACACAGCACUGUGCAAACACGAAAGUGGACGUAUACGGUGUGACGCCUGCCCGGUGCCGGAAGGUUAAUUGAUGGGGUUAGCGCAAGCGAAGCUCUUGAUCGAAGCCCCGGUAAACGGCGGCCGUAACUAUAACGGUCCUAAGGUAGCGAAAUUCCUUGUCGGGUAAGUUCCGACCUGCACGAAUGGCGUAAUGAUGGCCAGGCUGUCUCCACCCGAGACUCAGUGAAAUUGAACUCGCUGUGAAGAUGCAGUGUACCCGCGGCAAGACGGAAAGACCCCGUGAACCUUUACUAUAGCUUGACACUGAACAUUGAGCCUUGAUGUGUAGGAUAGGUGGGAGGCUUUGAAGUGUGGACGCCAGUCUGCAUGGAGCCGACCUUGAAAUACCACCCUUUAAUGUUUGAUGUUCUAACGUGGACCCGUGAUCCGGGUUGCGGACAGUGUCUGGUGGGUAGUUUGACUGGGGCGGUCUCCUCCUAAAGAGUAACGGAGGAGCACGAAGGUUGGCUAAUCCUGGUCGGACAUCAGGAGGUUAGUGCAAUGGCAUAAGCCAGCUUGACUGCGAGCGUGACGGCGCGAGCAGGUGCGAAAGCAGGUCAUAGUGAUCCGGUGGUUCUGAAUGGAAGGGCCAUCGCUCAACGGAUAAAAGGUACUCCGGGGAUAACAGGCUGAUACCGCCCAAGAGUUCAUAUCGACGGCGGUGUUUGGCACCUCGAUGUCGGCUCAUCACAUCCUGGGGCUGAAGUAGGUCCCAAGGGUAUGGCUGUUCGCCAUUUAAAGUGGUACGCGAGCUGGGUUUAGAACGUCGUGAGACAGUUCGGUCCCUAUCUGCCGUGGGCGCUGGAGAACUGAGGGGGGCUGCUCCUAGUACGAGAGGACCGGAGUGGACGCAUCACUGGUGUUCGGGUUGUCAUGCCAAUGGCACUGCCCGGUAGCUAAAUGCGGAAGAGAUAAGUGCUGAAAGCAUCUAAGCACGAAACUUGCCCCGAGAUGAGUUCUCCCUGACUCCUUGA
rnacentral:rRNA from 1 species